rnacentral:rRNA from 1 species
CCUACGGGAGGCAGCAGUGGGGAAUAUUGGACAAUGGGCGCAAGCCUGAUCCAGCCAUGCCGCGUGAGUGACGGAGGCCUUAGGGUUGUAAACCUCUUUCAGCAGGGACGAAGCGAAAGUGACGGUACCUGCAGAAGAAGCGCCGGCUAACUACGUGCCAGCAGCCGCGGUAAU